GUAACUUUGGCUAAAAAAUAAAAAUUUAUCCAUUAAAGAUUCUUUCUCUGCAGAGAGUGAAAGUUUCUCUCCUUCUUUUGCUUUUUCAUGGGUGCAAGGCUCUCUUUCUGUUGGUGUAGUCCGGGAGCCUCUUUUCCCUGACCAAGCUGUGAAGUCUUGUUUCUCUUCAUCAUCUGCGCUUCAUCAGUUUUCCUUCUUUUCUGCUUUGAGGAAGGUAGAUCUGGUUUUUUAGAACCAUGCAUCUCCUAGGUCUUUAGCCAGUCUUUUAUUUGGAUGGCAGACCUUCUUGACACAUUCAGGUGUCUAUGAGUGCUACAGGUUCCCUUUAUCAACUCCAUUGAUGAGUGUUUCCUCAGUUUGUCGCAAGUUUGGUUGAUUUAAGUAGGAGAAUCUAAUCUUUGGUUGA